GCGAAAAAAGUUCCGCUACUCGCACGAGCGAGCGAGCGAGCGAGCAGCGAGGCGCCCAGAGAGCCCUCGAGCGAGAACCCCGCUGUCGUCUCCCUCAGAAGCAGCCGCCCGCCGAAUCAAAUCGCGCUGCCAGCCUCGUCCGCCUCGCCGUGCCUGCGUCCCUCCCCGGACGGCGGCGACGAUGGAGGGAUCCACUGGCGCUGGCCAGGCCCCCGGCCGAUGGACGCGCCGGAUCGUCGCUCCUCUGGGCCAGCCCCUCCCGCCGCGCUGGAUUUCGUGGCAGCCUAGCUUGUCAGAGAUGGCAAAGCUGUUAUAUACAGGGUACGGCUCCGAGCUAGCCGAUGCCUACUGUAUCCAGUGUUCUGUUGCAUCCGGUGCGACCUCAAAGAAUACCUUCUUCUAGCUGGGCGUUGAGCGCCUCAGGGACGACGAGGUGCAGCGCCUGGGGUGGAAGCAGUUCAACUACACGAUGAAGAAGUGAGUGAAGGGGUUAAGACGGUUGCGUUGUGCGUGCGCUGCUUGCUUGCUGCUGUUGCAUAUAGCUUGUGGCUGUGGUUGUCCAGCCGGGUUAUCUCUGGCUGCAGAAUCAUCAAAGAAAGGAUCCACUGCUGGUCUCAUUGGCCUUGAUCUUCCAUUCACAAGCAAUUAAUGUUUAUGGGAGCAUGAAUUCAAAGUAGCACAUUUUCGCGGCUGUGAAAUGCAGCAACAUGUUUGGAUAGCUGACCAAAAAGGAUCUCACUGAAAAACUGAAAUAUUUAAGUAACACGUCAACGACGGCUGCGUCCUGCGUGUUGGCAAGGCGGCGGCGACGGAUGGUGUGCAGGAUGCGGCCUUUUUUGUGUAUAGCUCUCUAAACUUGACAGUUGAGUUUCUUUUUGGUCAUGUUAAAACUGAGUUUCUGUUAGUUCAGUUUGCACAAGCGGCCAUAGUGCGGACCAUCAGGAGACAGGGGCACACAAGCACCAGCACGGCAGCACCACCAUCAGAACACACCAGACGGCUCGCAUAGGGAAUACUUCAAGAUGGACACUGGUGGUACAACAUGGCUUACUAUCAUCUAUUUACACAUGGCUAAUUUGACGGAAUAGCUUUGGCCAUCUUUGAUAUAUGUUACUCCUACUACAGAUUUCGCUCCCUCGUCUCCAAGAAAUUCCCUACUAGCUACACUUGACAUGAGAGUCCAAUUUGAAUUCCCAUAAAUGAGAGGAAAGCUAUGAUUCGUUCGCUCCACUUUUAGCUUUGUAUCUCCUCCUGAAGACAUCCUCCCUGAACUACUUGAUUUCAGCCAUCAGGUCCAGGCUUCUACUGAAUAGUGUCCUCUGUCUCCAGCGCCCAUUUCCGCUUAGCGAGUUGUUGGAUUGCAUCCUACUUCUUAUUUUCCUCCUGCACACCGUCUCCCUUUGUGUCGUCAAUCACGUACUAUAACAUUUGACAAAUAGUAUGUGUUGUGUUGGUGUCAGCAUGCCAGCACUACAUGAAUGAUCCCACUGCUGCAGGCUUCAGCCAAUACUGGCCGGCUAUGUUUACAAACAGAAAUGAAUUGUUCAGAGAAGAGGAGCAGACGUGCUGCAAAAUUUACCUCAAGGUGGUGAAUCAGCAAAUCGAGGGACUUAUUUUUUGGUGGGGCCAGCAGGGUAUCCCAUUACCUUAAUUUCCUCUUCAGUGUGCUGACUCCGAUCUCCAGAGUCAUGGUUGCUUCUUUCUUAGUCUGUUUAAAUCGGUUAUUUCUUUCAAUAUGCACUCUCACAAUCAUAUACUUUUUCUGUUCUUGAUGGUGAUUUUUUGAUGGUACAGGGAAUGAAUGAAACAAUGUCUUCUCAUCAAGGAAAAGACUUGUGUUCUCCUUAUAGAAGAUAAUUUAUUAUGUGAGGCAUUUGCCAUUACAACAUCUUGUCCAGGGCCAUGCUUGGCAUCGCCUUGUCCUGGUCUUCGGCGCUCCUACAGGAACUGAGCGCCAGUGUGGUCGAGCCAAGUACAACACCAACAAGCGACAACAGCGCACCACUCUGAUCCAUGCGGGAAACAUGCAGUGUACAGAGAAAUCAGCGCUUUCACAGGCUGAUAGGAGAAAUUUUUGGGUGGGGCCUGCAUGUUUCGAGAGAAUUGUCGUGUCAUAGUGCUAACUAGGAAAAUGUUGAGGAGGUCCUGUUGCGUCCCAUGUUCAAUAUAAGGGGGUGUUAAAAGGGACUCGAAGCAUUUUCAUGUGUCGAUGGCACGAGAGAUCCUCCCGAUACUCUCCUCAAGGUUGACCCAACUAGAUCCUGAUGCGCCAGCGGCACGGGUGGUCAGGCCUGAGCAGCGAGCUCUUCUGCCCCCUCCUCAUUGGAUCGGCGGCCAGGGAGGCCAGAUCGUGUGGCACGAGAGAAGGCUCAUGUGUGAGGAAGGGGAGCAGCAACAUGCGUCGAUUGGAGAAGGGAGGAGCAACAGGUGCCACUGAAGGGAGGGGAGCAGCGGCAAGCGCGGAGGGAGGGGAGCACGGGAGCCCCAAGGGAGGCGGAGCAGCGGCAGGUGGCGUGGAGGUUGGAGAUCUUGGUGAGGACGGCGCGACGCGAGGUCAUGGUGGCAUGUGUCGGAGCAGUGGUAGGUGGCGUGUGCAGGUAAAUAGCAACAUCACUACCUCUUUUAUUAUGUGCAUAUUACAUUUUGAAUAUUUCAAGUAACCAGAUGGACGUGAACAUAUACACAUAAUCCACUUUCCGGUUGAAGCUUAUUUUCUUGCAUGAGUGGUGAAGAAAAUGAGUGACAAGGAUGAUGAGAAUAAAGGGAGUGCAAUGUGGUUAUUGAAGAAGGGCAAGGAAGAGGAAGACACAUGUUAGUCGGGUGAAGUCAGCAGCGAUCGCUAUCAGUGAUGUUAUUGGCCAAAUAGGUUGUCUAAACAUUUUGCUAGGUCUCCCUCAGGGAUGAUGGUGUAACCUUGUUUCAAGUAGAUAAACAGAAGUGGGCUAAAAGAGUGUCAUAUUACAACAGAUCAGUUGGUGUGAAACUAGAUGUUGGACUAAUACGUAAUGUAAUGGGCAUGAAUGCAUUCUUUUGAGGAUUGGUGGUUGCAGCAGCGCCUGAUCAUGGUUAUAAAUCUUUUUGCUGCUAAAAAGACGUUGUCACUUGGAGAAAUAUAUGAUAGGGCCUGAUUGGAGUUUA